rnacentral:misc_RNA from 1 species
UGCUAGCAUGAGUGGAUUUGUGCUAUCUUGUAUGCAAAUGUGCUUUUGUUUGUUACUUAACGUAUUUCAUGAGAUUGUGCUUGUAAUUUAUCUAAGGGCUCAACAGCCACCUCUGCAUUACGUAGUUGAUUUUCUGAAUCUUAGGAGUCCUUGAUUUGAAUGAAUACACAGUUACCAUAUCAUCUUGUUUCCCUCUCCCCCCCA